AAGGGACCUAGCGUAGUUCGGAAUUACUGGGCUUAAAGAGUUCGUAGGUGGUUGAAAAAGUUGGUGGUGAAAUCCCAGAGCUUAACUCUGGAACUGCCAUCAAAACUUUUCAGCUAGAGUAUGAUAGAGGAAAGCAGAAUUUCUAGUGUAGAGGUGAAAUUCGUAGAUAUUAGAAAGAAUACCAAUUGCGAAGGCAGCUUUCUGGAUCAUUACUGACACUGAGGAACGAAAGCAUGGGUAGCGAAGAGGAUUAGAUACCCUCGUAGUCCAUGCCGUAAACGAUGUGUGUUAGACGUUGGAAAUUUAUUUUCAGUGUCGCAGCGAAAGCGAUAAACACACCGCCUGGGGAGUACGACCGCAAGGUUAAAACUCAAAUGAAUUGACGGGGACCCGCACAAGUAGUGGAGCAUGUGGUUUAAUUCGAAGAUACGCGCAGAACCUUACCAACACUUGACAUGUUCGUCGCGACUCUAAGAGAUUAGAGUUUUCGGUUCGGCCGGACGAAACACAGGUGCUGCAUGGCUGUCGUCAGCUCGUGUCGUGAGAUGUUGGGUUAAGUCCCGCAACGAGCGCAACCCUCACUUUUAGUUGCCAUCAUUAAGUUGGGCACUCUGAAAGAACUGCCAGUGAUAAGCUGGAGGAAGGUGGGGAUGACGUCAAGUCCUCAUGGCCCUUAUGUGUUGGGCUACACACGUGCUACAAUGGCAUCUACAACAGGAAGCAAAACGGCAACGUUAAGCAAAUCCCGAAAAGAUGCCUCAGUUCGGAUUGCACUCUGCAACUCGAGUGCAUGAAGCUGGAAUUACUAGUAAUCGUGGAUCAGCGUGCCACGGUGAAUGCGUUCCCGGGUCUUGUACACACCGCCCGUCACACCAUGGGAGUUGGUUCUACCUUAAGGCAAGGUUUAAUACCCUUGACCACGGUAUAGUCAGCGACUGGGGUGAAGUCGUAACAAGGUAGCCGUAGGGGAACCCGCGGCUGGAUUACCUCCUUUCUAAGGAUGAGUGAAAAGGAAAAAUUUCACUCUAAAUAAUAUACAUCGGUAAUGUUGACCGUCCUCAUUUCUCUUCUUAAAGUAAUGUUUCCUUCUUGUAGGGCCGGUAGCUCAGUUGGUUAGAGCACACCCUUGAUAAGGGUGGGGUCGAAAGUUCGAGUCUUUCUCGGCCCACCAAACUUAAAUGGGGGAUUAGCUCAUCUGGGAGAGCGCCUGAUUUGCAUUCAGGAGGUAGCAGGUUCGAUCCCUGUAUCCUCCACCAGGAAACAUUUAGCUAUUAAAAUCGUAAAUAAAAAUAAUUUAUAUCAAUAUCUAUAUCCGAGCAUUAAAAAGUUAUUAUUUAAUGUUCAAAAUAAAAAUUUGAUCACAACACAGAAUAAAGUUUUUUCUGUGCAUAAAUCAAGCGUUUAAGGGCGUGUGGCGGAUGCCUUGGCACUGAAAGCCGAUGAAGGACGUGAUAUACUGCGAUAAGUUUCGGGGAGCUGUAUGUAAGCUUUGAUCCGAAAAUUU
rnacentral:sRNA from 1 species